UACGGAGGGGGCUAGUGUUGUUCGGAAUUACUGGGCGUAAAGCGCACGUAGGCGGCUUUGUAAGUUAGAGGUGAAAGCCCGGGGCUCAACUCCGGAAUUGCCUUUAAAACUGCAUCGCUCGAAUCAUGGAGAGGUGAGUGGAAUUCCGAGUGUAGAGGUGAAAUUCGUAGAUAUCGGGAAGGAACACCAGUGGCGAAGGCGACUACCUGGCCUGUUCUUGACGCUGAGGCGCGAAAGCUAGGGGAGCAACGGG
rnacentral:rRNA from 1 species